AUGCUCGGUCUCUUCAUCGUCCGGCUCUACAAUAACAGCCUCGUUGGUAACGUCCCACACCAGCUCUGCAGGCUCCUCCUCAUUGGCAAUCUAGAUUUGUCCGACAAUCUGCUUGCCGGGGAGCUCCCGGACUGCUGGUGCAACCUCAAAUAUCUGGUGUUCAUGGAUCUAUCUAAUAACCGGCUCACGGGGAAGCUCCCGAACUGCUGGUGGAACCUGAAGGCUCUGAGUUUCAUGGAUCUAUCCAACAACUCCUUCUCAGGUAAAAUUCCCGCGGCUGUGGCAAGCUACAACUGCUCUCUUAGGUCACUUUAUCUCACCGGAAAUGGCUUUGUUGGUGCUUUCCCGCCGGUCCUAGAGGGUUGCAACUUGCUGACCACUCUGGACCUGGGGAACAACAUGUUCUUUGGUGUUAUCCCUCCAUGGAUUGGGAGUCAAGUUCCAAUGCUUAGAAUCCUUAGUCUCAGAUCAAACAACUUCACUGGAGAAAUUCCUCUAGGUUUAUCACAGCUUUCACAACUUCAGUUGCUCGACAUGUCCAACAAUAGCUUGACUGGCUCAAUUCCUAUAGGCUUCGGCAACUUGACCUCCAUGAGGCACCCAAAAAAUGUUUCAGCAAUAGAUAAAUUGUUGUGGGGUAAAUAUAAUGACAGACUUGGUAUAAUCUGGAAGGGUCGGGAUCAGACUUUCAGAGGCACAAUCCGAUUAUUAGCCGGUAUUGAUUUAUCAAACAAUUUUCUAUCACAAUGCAUCCCCGAAGAGUUAACCAAUCUUCAGGGCCUUCGGUUCCUAAACCUUUCAAGAAACCAUAUGUCGUGCCGCAUUCCCCAGGACAUUGGUAGCCUCUCUUUUCUUGAGAUCCUUGAUCUAUCAUCUAAUCAACUUUUUGGAAACAUUCCUCAAAGCAUCACACAAUUAUCAGGGCUCAACACGUUAAAUGUCUCAAACAAUCUUUUGUCGGGCAAGAUACCCAUCGGAAAUCAGAUUCAGACGCUGACUCACCCAUCAAUUUACUCCAACAAUUCUGGGCUUUGUGGAUUUCCUCUAAACAUUUCGUGUGCCACUACUUCGCUUGCACCGGAUGAGAGAAAUGGUGAAGAGGAGGACCACUGGAUGUACUACUGUGUGAUUGCUGGGAUUGUGUCUGGUCUCUGGUUGUGGUUUGGGAUGCUCUUUACAAUUAAGUCCUGGAGAUGUGGUUUUCUUUCCUUUGUUGAUGGCAUGCAAUGUAAAAUUAUGAAAAAGUUGUGACAUUAG
rnacentral:rRNA from 1 species